rnacentral:rRNA from 1 species
CCUACGGGUGGCAGCAGUGGGGAAUAUUGCGCAAUGGGGGCAACUCUGACGCAGCAACGCCGCGUGAUUGAAGAAGGCCUUCGGGUUGUAAAGAUCUUUAAUCAGGGACGAAAAAUGACGGUAACUGAAGAAUAAGCUCCGGCUAACCACGUGCAAGCAGCCGCGGUAAUACGUAGGGAGCAAGCGUUAUCCGGAUUUACUGGGUGUAAAGGGCGUGUAGGCGGGCUUGUAAGUCAGAAGUGAAAUCUGGGGGCUUAACCCCCGAACUGCUUUUAAAACUGCGGGUCUUGAGUGAUGGAGAGGCAGGAGGAAUUCCCAGUGUAGCGGUGAAAUGCGUAGAUAUUGGGAGGAACACCAGUGGCGAAGGCGGCCUGCUGGACAUUAACGGACGCUGAGGCGCGAAAGCGUGGGGAGCAAACAGGAUUAGAUACCCCUGUAGUC